CUUUUCCUUUCAACUACAGUUCUGUGUCACAACGAUCCCUUCCUCUUGUUAUCCUUCGGGACGACAGGAAGUGCGAGGUUGAUUGUUGCGACGCUCUUCGACUAUUCCAGCGGAGCCAUUAUCUCACCCCCAUUAAUGUCUAACCCAGUCGACAGAACUGAGAUCAACCCGAGACCUUUUCGCGCCUUUCGGGGCAAGGUUCAUCUUGAGCUCGUCCUGAGACCGCCUUCGGGCGCAAACGGGGCUGAAUUCGGUGAGCCGAAAACGGUGUGUAGGGAGACGUCUUAUUCCCAAGCUUGGUGUUGAUCCUCGUCGAGGAAUGAUCACUGAGCAAAACCAAGACUAUUGUCUACAUUC
rnacentral:sRNA from 1 species